rnacentral:misc_RNA from 1 species
GAUGAAGAACGUAGCGAAAUGCGAUAACUAAUGAGAAUUGCAGAAUUCAGUGAAUCAUCGAGUCUUUGAACGCACAUUGCGCCCCCUGGUAUUCCGGGGGGCAUGCCUGUCCGAGCGUCAUUGCUGCCCUCAAGCACGGCUUGUGUGUUGGGCUCCGUCCCCCCGGGGACGGGUCCGAAAGGCAGCGGCGGCACCGAGUCCGGUCCUCGAGCGUAUGGGGCUUUGUCACCCGCUCUGUAGGCCCGGCCGGCGCCAGCCGACAACCAAUCAUCCUUUUUUCAGGUUGACCUCGGAUCAGGUAGGGAUACCCGCUGAACUUAAGCAUAUCAAUAAGCGGAGGA